rnacentral:rRNA from 1 species
AUGCAGUCGAACGGCAGCACAGUAAGAUCUUGCUCUUAUGGGUGGUGACUGGCGGACGGGUGAGGAAUACAUCGGAAUCUACUUUUUCGUGGGGGAUAACGUAGGGAAACUUACGCUAAUACCGCAUACGACCUACGGGUGAAAGCAGGGGAUCUUCGGACCUUGCGCGAUUGAAUGAGCCGAUGUCGGAUUAGCUAGUUGGCGGGGUAAAGGCCCACCAAGGCGACGAUCCGUAGCUGGUCUGAGAGGAUGAUCACCCACACUGGAACUGACACACGGUCCACACUCCUACGGGAGGCAGCAGUGGGGAAUAUUGGACAAUGGGCGCAAGCCUGAUCCAGCCAUACCGCGUGGGUGAAGAAGGCCUUCGGGUUGUAAAGCCCUUUUGUUGGGAAAGAAAUCCAGCUGGUUAAUACCCGGUUGGGAUGACGGUACCCAAAGAAUAAGCACCGGCUAACUUCGUGCCAGCAGCCGCGGUAAUACGAAGGGUGCAAGCGUUACUCGGAAUUACUGGGCGUAAAGCGUGCGUAGGUGGUCGUUUAAGUCUGUUGUGAAAGCCCUGGGCUCAACCUGGGAACUGCAGUGGAAACUGGACGACUAGAGUGGG